GAGAUUGAGUCUUGCUCUGUUGCCCAGGCUAGAGUGCACCUGGGCAACAAGAGUGAAACUCUGUCUCAAAAAUAAUAAUAAUAAUAAUAAUUAUUAUUAUUAUUAUUAUUAUUAUUAGUCAGAUGACCAUACCUAGCUGUAAGAGGAGCUGGGAAACCUAAUCUUUUUCCUGGGUGACAAUGUGCCCAGCUAAAUAUUGGGAUUUCUAUUAGUAUGGAAGGAUUUGAGAUAAUAGGAACAUGGAUAGCAAUCUUUGCCACAUUCUGCCUGCAGGAGAAAAUCAGGAAAUUAAUUUUCAUGAUUCCUAAACAUGUAGAGCCUUCCACCAGAUUGUGGCAUUUUCUCUUUAGCUGCUGGUCAUUAGGAAGCACCUCUGCAAUCUAUAAAUGAUGGGCUGGUUCCUGUCAGCUAAAUCUCUGCCUGAAAUACAAGAUGAUCAGGGAAAGGUUCCUAGGUACCUUGCUGGUCUUGCUCAAACCGAACACAUGCAUAAGUUACAGUGGAGGUUAAUGCAGAUCUUUAACUGAGAGAUCAAGUAGUUGUCACAAAUACCAUAGAGCAACACAGAGAAGCAGAAUAUAGU
rnacentral:lncRNA from 1 species